GACGAACGCUGGCGGCGUGCCUAAUACAUGCAAGUAGAACGCUGAAGAGAGGAGCUUGCUCUUCUUGGAUGAGUUGCGAACGGGUGAGUAACGCGUAGGUAACCUGCCUUGUAGCGGGGGAUAACUAUUGGAAACGAUAGCUAAUACCGCAUAACAAUGGAUGACACAUGUCAUUUAUUUGAAAGGGGCAAUUGCUCCACUACAAGAUGGACCUGCGUUGUAUUAGCUAGUAGGUGAGGUAAUGGCUCACCUAGGCGACGAUACAUAGCCGACCUGAGAGGGUGAUCGGCCACACUGGGACUGAGACACGGCCCAGACUCCUACGGGAGGCAGCAGUAGGGAAUCUUCGGCAAGGGGGGCAACCCUGACCGAGCAACGCCGCGGGAGUGAAGAAGAUUGUCGGAUCGUAAAGCUCUGUUGUAGGUCAAGAACGGGUGUGAGAGUGGAAAGUUCACACUGUGACGGUAGCUUACCAGAAAGGGACGGCUAACUACGUG
rnacentral:rRNA from 1 species